GACGAACGCUGGCGGCGUGCCUAAUACAUGCAAGUCGAACGAGAGCGACCGGUGCUUGCACUGGUCAAUCUAGUGGCGAACGGGUGAGUAACACGUGGGUAACCUACCCAUCAGAGGGGGAUAACAUCCGGAAACGGAUGCUAAAACCGCAUAGGUCUUCGAACCGCAUGGUUUGAAGAGGAAAAGAGGCGCAAGCUUCUGCUGAUGGAUGGACCCGCGGUGCAUUAGCUAGUUGGUGAGGUAACGGCUCACCAAGGCCGUGAUGCAUAGCCGACCUGAGAGGGUGAUCGGCCACAUUGGGACUGAGACGCGGCCCAAACUCCUACGGGAGGCAGCAGUAGGGAAUCUUCCGCAAUGGACGCAAGUCUGACGGAGCAACGCCGCGUGAGUGAAGAAGGUUUUCGGAUCGUAAAACUCUGUUGUUAGAGAAGAACAAGUGCUAGAGUAACUGUUAGCGCCUUGACGGUAUCUAACCAGAAAGCCACGGCUAACUACGUG
rnacentral:rRNA from 1 species